GACGAACGCUGGCGGCGUGGAUUAGGCAUGCAAGUCGAACGGUAGGAACCUUUCGGGGUUCUGAGAGUGGCGAACGGGUGAGUAACACGUAGGUGAUCUACCCUCAAAUCGGGGACAACCCAGGGAAACUUGGGCUAAUACCGGAUGACAGCUACCUUCGGGUAGUUUGAAAGAUGGCUUCGGCUGUCGUUUGAGGAUGAGCCUGCGCUCUAUUAGUUAGUUGGUGAGGUAAUGGCUUACCAAGGCGAUGAUAGAUAGGCGGCCUUAACGGGUGGCCGCCCACACUGGGAUUGAGAUACGGCCCAGACUCCUACGGGUGGCUG
rnacentral:rRNA from 1 species